UACAGAGGGGGCAAGCGUUAUUCGGAAUUAUUGGGCGUAAAGGGCGCGUAGGCGGCUACACAAGUGGCGGGUGAAAUCCCUCGGCUUAACCGAGGAACUGCCUGCCAGACUGUGUGGCUUGAGACCGGGAGAGGUGAGUGGAAUUCCCCAGUGUAGCGGUGAAAUGCGUAGAUAUUGGGAGGAACACCAGUGGCGAAGGCGGCUCACUGGACCGGAACUGACGCUGAGGCGCGAAAGCGUGGGGAGCAAACAGG
rnacentral:rRNA from 1 species